UGUCCAUCGUCGUCUCCCCCCACUUUACUACUACUACUAUGCUUCUUCGUCUCCACCUCUCCCCUCUUCCUCCCAAACCCCACCAAAGCCCUAACCCUAACCCUAACCCUAACCCUAACCCUAGUUCCUACUCCUCCGUAUCCCUCCCUCUCCAGCGCCUCCCCCCUCCCCUCUCCUCCUCCUCCUGCGCCACCGCCGCCGCCGCCGCGGCGGACGCGGGGAUCCUCUUCCGGGAGAAGCUACUCUACCUGGAGCACGAGCUCGGCGUAGACCCGUCCCGCGCCCUCGCGCUCAACCCCUCGCUCCGCUCCGCCCCAAUCUCGUCCCUCCGCUCCGCCGCCUCCCUCCUCCUCGCCUUCGGGCUGCUCCCCUCCGACGCCUCCCGCGUCUUCUCCCAGCACCCCCACCUCCUCACCUCCGACCCCUCCCUCUCCCUCCUCCCCUCCCUCCGCUUCCUCCUCGGCCCCGUCGCCAUCCCCUUCCCCCACCUCCGCUCCGCCGUGCUCCGCUGCCCCCGCCUCCUCGCCUCCAGCGUCCCCCUACAGCUCCACCCCACCCUCCUCUUCCUCCGCCGCGUCGGCUUCGUCGGCCCCCGCCGCAUCACCGCCCACACCGCCCUCCUCCUCGUCUCCAGCGUCGAGCGCACCCUCAUCCCCAAGCUCGACUUCCUCCGGUCCCUCGGCCUCUCCGACCGCGACACCAACAAAUUGGUCCUCCGAUCCCCCAGCAUCCUCACCUUCAGCGUCGACCGCAAUCUCCGCCCAAAGGCCGAGUUUUUGACCCAGCAAAUGGGGAGGGAUGCGGUGGAGCUCAAGGCAUUCCCCCAGUACUUCUCGUUUAGCCUGGAGGGGAGGAUCAAGCCGAGGCACCGGAUGUUGAAGGAGAGCGGGCUCGCGAUGCCGCUGUCGGAGAUGCUCAAGGUCAGCGACGGCGAGUUUCGCGUUCGCCUGGUGGAUAUGCGGCUGAGGAAGUUCGACGAGUGUUUGUAGUUCAUCUUUCAUUGUUCAAUUCAAUUCUGUGUGGUGUGAUGGAAACAAAAAGACAGGAAGAAAUUACUGGAUUUGUCUGAAGGUCAAGAUUUUGUGUGAUGGAAGCAAAGAUAUUCUCUGCCAAUGCCACACACACACACAGAAAAAAGGAAAAAAAGGAGGAAAAAACGCUCUGGGUAAAAAAGUCGUUAUGAAAUGCAACAUGCACGGUUGAUGGUGGUGCAUCAAGGAGAAUCAUGAAGGGUCCAAUCAGGUUCCAAAGUGAUCAUUUGGUCCCGACUCUUGAACAGCUAGUUCAGGAAGCAGAUGAAGCAUAACGCUUUUGCUAGCUGCUGUGCAGCAAGCUGAAAUAAACUUUUGGUCUUAGAUUUUCAUCUUAAAUUCGCGCGAAUCUUUACGAAAGAUGGUUACGGAUGAAAGAAGAAGUAGAAGCAGAAGCGAGACCGAAUAGUUCCUAGUCUAAAGGCUAACUAAUUAGGGAGGAGUACAUUCCUGCUGCACUGUGGCCACCUCAUUCAUUGAAACGUCCACCCAUCCCCCCACAGGCUCAACAGUGUCCGCAGGGGAAGAAAAGUAAUAGACCCCCCUUAAAGGAGGACAGAUUUGCUGCAUAAACCCGGCGCAUCGAUAAUAAAUAUGCAGGCCAAAAGAUCAAUAGUGCGAGACGGAGUCCAGAAAUAUGUUUAACACAAGUCGUGAAAUCAGACAGAUAGAUAUGGUCGGUAGAUUAUGGUGUAUCAGUUUUAUAUAUAUAUAUAUAUAUAUGCAGGUGCACUGGGUGCAGAUAAUAAUUUCUCCAUGAACAGUGCUUCUUUUUUCCUAUUGACAAGGGGGGUGGGGUGUGUGUGACUGAGAGGGCACAGGUGAAUUGCUUGCCCCAGGACAUUCCUCUUAUAGAAACUUAUAAGACCCUUAUAAUGGGUCUCUUUUGGGUGUACCUUUUCCUUGGCCCCUUGUGGAAUUUGGUGGGGGAACUGGGGAAGGGUAGGGUUGUGGGAAGGGGGAAGAGAGGCUCACAUAAGAAAAGUAGUUAUUGCAAGUAAGCAUCAGCAAUAGUUUGGAACUCCAUAUUGGUGCUUUAUUUAUUAAUCUGAUGCAAAGAUACAUGCUAGCUAGGGAGAGAGAAGCAGAAGCUAUUAAACUGAUCAUGAUUAAAAGCUGAGUUUGACUGCAAAAGGAAGUGAUUACAAGAGUUGGCUGCAGAGGCUCAGAAGAGGGUUUGGUGCAGUGUAGUCUUCUAACUCUUGAAAAAAGGGCACAAAUAAAGAAUGAAAUGAACUCAGGAAGAUUCUUCUGUUGAUUUAUAUAUAGGGUUCAUUGAUAAAGUAGUAUCUGAGUAAUGCUACUAUGAUAUAACUAUAUAUUAUUUCUCUAUUAGAAGUAGAAAGCAGUGUAUUUGAACUUAUUGCUUUUACCCAUUGGAAUCCUAUUCCUCAUUUUUGUCACAAUAA